CCUAAAGUUGUUACCAAGUGAACGUGGGUUAUGUCAGCUGUGAUCCUCAGCGAGAAAUGGCGGAAUUUUCGCUUAGUGCUCGUAUUGACCCUACCAACUGAACUCUCCAGGAUACCGCUUCUCUAACCAAAGAUUGGCCACGUAUUUAGAAACAGACUUGGCUGCCCGUCCAGUUUGCCCAUCCUGUCCCAACAGCCGCCCAGUCUCCACAAAUCCUGAGGAAGAGAUUAGAUAACAUCAAAUCAAAAAGUCUUGUUCUUGCCAUUAGAAUAUUUAAAUCGUUUGUUAGUUCAACUGACACAAAAGCCUUUCUUCUUACUAAUAAAUUUCACUAGUCCUGUCGAUUUUUCCCUGACACUGUGCCGAAAGUGAAUGUUUCAGUGAAAAAAAGUUACUUUCCUGUUGUUACUUGUUCUUGAACUCUGGGUACGUGUGGACAUAUAAGGCUACUGUACUUCAUGGCUUAAACAGACAGGCGUCUGUCGACCGUCUGGCAAAUUCAUCUUGACUAAAAGUGAUUUACGCCCUUAUCAUCCUUUGAGAUUACAUUGCCUGCCGAAAUCUCUUAACUCUUUACCCUCCAGAAUCUCUCAGUCAAUCUCGAUAAGUCAUUUCUUUGUCCUGGACCGAAUAACAACAACAAAAAAAAAAACUGGUUUUCGCUCUGUAAUCUCCAAAC